CGAUGCGCAUAGUGUUAAUGGAACGUAGCAGACGUACAGAGGUCCAUAGUUCACAAUGAGUUUGUGGAAUUCUUACACUAUUGCAUGUAUCUAUUGCGUGUAUAUCCCUAAUUGGUAAUUGACACAUGCGACCUUAAUGCGACUCGCAGCUGUUAGUGUUUCAAUAAAGCUUGUUAACUUCCUAAACGUUGCACUUUCUGAACACAGUAUCGGGACAAACUGCUCGUUUCUCUAUGUUUUCCUUCGAUAAAUAAGCAAAUUAAUUUUGCUACACCAUUCACAUUUUUUCGAUAGAAACAUUUGUGAGACAUUUACUUAUCAUAAUUACAUAUUUACUAAUGUAUUUAGCAGCAAUUAUGGAAUAUCAAAUGUUUGAAUUUGGCGCCGUUUGCAUUAGUAUCACCUGAUGAGUCACAGAUGUCAGAGCCAUACGGAAAUCAAUUUCAAUUCAAGAAAGUGAACUGUGUACCACAUUACCGGGUAAUAUGAAUAGUCAGGGGUCAGUAAAUCAUGGGAGAACAAAGCGAAAGAUACUAAAAGAUUUAAUGAAACACCAUUCCAGGAAUACGAGCAAUAAUUACGUAUCACGGAUAUAGGCUUGCGUAAACACUACACCUCAUUACAUAUGAUGCUGCAGCAAUCGCAAAAACUAGCAAAAAUAGGAUAAAACCAAACGUUUCCAAGUUGUUAGCGGUAACACAUUUGACUCCAAAUAAUAUUGUCCUCAAAAGUUUUCCUUGCGACGUUGAAAAACCAAUACCUUUAAGGCCAGAUACACUUUUACUUGGUGGAGUAUGUUGUACAACUUUCGUGCCCCCAAAAAGUAUGUGAAGCUUAUCAGUUUCUAUAUCCAGCUGUCUAUUUCCAUCAAUUUCU